rnacentral:rRNA from 1 species
CAGCCGCCGCGGGAAUACGUAGGUGGCAAGCGUUGUCCGGAAUUAUUGGGCGUAAAGGGCUCGCAGGCGGUUUCUUAAGUCUGAUGUGAAAGCCCCCGGCUCAACCGGGGAGGGUCAUUGGAAACUGGGAAACUUGAGUGCAGAAGAGGAGAGUGGAAUUCCACGUGUAGCGGUGAAAUGCGUAGAGAUGUGGAGGAACACCAGUGGCGAAGGCGACUCCCUGGUCUGUAACUGACGCUGAGGAGCGAAAGCGUGGGGAGCGAACAGGAUUAGAUACCCGUGUAGUCCCUGUCUCUUAUAU